UGUCAUUUUAAGAUAUAGCUUUAAUUACAAAGAUAAUAAUUUUAGCUGGGCAGUAGUUGCAUCUUAAUAAUUUAUAAACUAAAUUGGUCCCAAAAAAUCACAACUGUUAGCCAGGGAAAAGGUUGUUUUAAUUCAGUAAUUGUAAUCUAUGUUCUAUAACAUCAGACGAAGGUUACUAUUUUUUAAUGCUGUAUAGUAUGUGACAAGUGCCAGUGGGAAAAAUUGAAUGGUUAUACUGGGAAAUUAAGAAUAUAAAAUUUAUUUGAAAUAAGUUCUUAAAGGUGCGACCCAUUUCUGUACAUCAACUGUGAUUUGACUGUUAGCUUUAAAAACUAAUGAUAAUUGAAAACAAAAAAUUAAUCUAAACCUGAUUUUAGUUGAUUGACUCAAAAGACUUAGGUUGUAUUACUGUGACUGAAAAUGACUCACUGUCACAAAGAUUCCUUAUCUCCCUCAAGAGGGCAAAAGAUGAAAAAAAUUUUUACUUUUUGGAGAAAUUGAUGGUGAAAAACAAACACUAACCACAAUAAUGAAAGUUUCACUGCAAGAUCAUUACUUUGCUAACCAAAAGGAUGCAUAACUGCUUAACCAUACCAGAUGUUAAAGGUUUUUAAACUUAUGCUUGUUACUCCCUCUGCUUGGUGAAAAAACAGAUAUGUUUUCAGACAGUGUUAUGCUCAACAUUUAUAUAUGGUGUUUUAAAAGACACUUUCUGAAUUUGCCUUUGAAAUUGUAACUUGUGGAGGAGUAGGCCUGCAUCCUGCUGGGCCGGGACAGCUCUGCUACUCGCAGCCACCUCAGUGGCUGCCUCCACAGCCACUUCCGGAGGGAUCUGGCUGAGGAGGAAGUGGAGGUGUCACUGGCCUCGGCCUUUGCCCCAAUCCUCUGUGGGCACUGAAGGGGGACUACAGGUUCGACAGUUAUGGGUGCUACAUGUGUGCAUUCAGAGCAGUAGUGUGCGGAAGCUUGGAGUGGGAUGGCAGGACAGCCUCAUCCCUAUGACAGUAACUCCAGUGAUCCAGAGAAUUGGGAUCAGAAAUUGCAUAGCAGACCUUGUAAACUUUAUAAACAUUCAAGUAUUUCCUCACGUGUUGCUAAAUGAGGAGUUGACCAUACCAAAAUGAGUUUACAUGGUGCUAGUGGGGGACAUGAAAGAUCAAGAGACAGACGAAGGGCAAGUGACAGAUCACGAGAUUCAUCCCAUGAAAAACAGAGUCUCAGCUCACUCCUUGUAUUAGAAAUCUGACUUCUCCUACACAACAGCACCACGUUGAACGAGAAAAAGAUCACAGUUCCUCUCGUCCAAGCAGUCCACAUCUUCAGAGCACCCCCAAAUUGUUCCAUUAGCAGUACUGGGAACAGCAGCAGAAACAGUAGUCGGUCAAGUUCAGAUGGUAGUUGUAAGACAUCUGGGGAGAUGGUGUUUGUAUAUGAAAAUGCAAAAGGAGGAGCUCGGAAUAUAAGAAAGUCAGAAUGAGUGACACUAAUAGUGGAUAACACUAGAUUUGUUGUAGACUCAUCCAUUUUUACUGCACAGCCAAAUACAAUGUUGGGCAGGAUGUUUGGAUCUGGCAGAGAACAUAACUUUACAUGACCCAAUGAGAAAAGAGAGUAUCAGGUGGCAGAGGGAAUUGGUUCCACUGUGUUUCGAGCUAUUCUGGAUUACUAUAAAACAGGAAUAUUCCGUUGUCCUGAUGGCAUAUCUAUUCCCUAUCUUUGUGUCUGUUUUGAAUAUAGUACUAUUAAAUGUAGAGAUCUCAGUACCCUAAUGCAUGAGUUAUCAAAUGAUGGUGCUCAAGGACAAUUGGAAUUUUAUCUGGAAAUGAUCCUCCCUUUCAUGGUAGCUGGUGCCCUGAGGGGGGAACAGGAAUGUCAUAUAGUGGUGCUUACAGAUGAUGUGGUUAAUUGAGAUGAAGAAUAUCCACCACAGAUGGGAGAAGAAUAUUCACAAAUUAUUUAUAGCACAAAAUUAUAUAGAUUUUUCAAGUACAUUGAAAACAGAGAUGUGGCCAAGUCAGUUUUGAAGGAGAGGGGUCUUAAGAAGAUUAGAUUGGGAAUAGAAGGUUAUCCUACCUACAAAAGAAAAAAUGAAGAAAAGGCCUGUAGGCCACCCAGAAAUGAUCUACAACUAUGUCCAAAGACCCUUUAUUUGAAUGUCCCAGGAGAAGGAAGAAGAAAAGAGUCGGCUUGUAGACUUUCAGUGUGUAAAGAGUAAAUCUAUCACCAACCUUGCAGCAGCUGCGGCAGACAUUCCCCAAGACUAGCUGGUAGUGAUGCACCCAACUCUGCAAGUGGAUGAGCUGGACAUUCUCCCCAUCCAUCCCCCUUCUGGCAACAAUGACCUUGAUCCUGAUGCACAGAAUCCAAUGCUGUGAUGCUGAUGUUCCUUGAAACCAUAGCAUGCUACUCUUCACAGUGACGUUGUACUCUCCUCAUUCUGCACUGCAAGGCCACUCUUCAUUGUGAGAUGCACAUAACAAUGUUUAGGAUAUUGCAGUGUAGGAUUUUUUAAAGACCAAAGGUAGCUGAAUGGUUUUUUUUUAAAUGAAUACAACUCUGUCAUCUUGAAGUUCCAGUUAUAUAAAUGUAUUUGUUUACCAGUAGAUUUGUGAAAUUGUUUCUUUGUAUGAGGGUUGGUCCUUUUUCACACAUCUAGUUCUUUUCGAAAGUGGUGGAAAUUGGCAGCUGGGAUACUUUCAGUUUGGAUUGAUAAUCAUCACACCCCAGAUAAAAUGCAGAAUAUUAUAUAGUUGCACUCUAUAAAUGGUGGUUAAAUGGAAAUGUUCAAGCCAUUUUAUAGUUGUGAUGCACAAUAUAACUUAAGUAAGUGCUUCUGUCAAAGUAAUCCUUCAGUAAAAUUUGUAUAGUUUGCUGCCCUUGAUGAGCAGAAAGUAUUUAUCUUGGGCUUAUCUAAAUGAUCAGAAUGAGAUUUAAUGCCCGUAUCACAUCAGUUCAGUUAUCUCCAGUCCCGGUUCACCCUUUGGAGUGAGACACAUGCAGGGAGUAUGAAUGUCAGAGGUGGCUUAUUAUCCAGUCUGCCUUAUCCUUAAUCUGUCACAGAUAUUUAUUUACUGAUGCUUUUUUUCUUAAGCGUUAUGAGAUAGGAAAAUGAAGUGUUUGCUCUUCAUUUACUAAAUGAUUAUAAACUCGAGUUUUUCAUCAAAAUAAAAUUCCAUUGUCUUUUUUUUUUUUAAAAAAAUGUAACUUGUAUUUCUUUUGUCUAUUAGUAAAAUUGCUACUGACUAAUGAAAGUUGAUACGAGUAGGUUUCAAAGUCCAAAGAAGAGAAGCGUUUAAAGAAUAAUCUAUUAAUUGUAUAAGUAGUCUUUGAAUGAUGUAGAUAUUGUGUUAAUGUUUUCCUUUGUAAUAUAUUGCUAAUAUAUAGA